rnacentral:rRNA from 1 species
GAUGAACGCUGGCGGCGUGCCUAACACAUGCAAGUCGAACGGAGUCCAGCCUUUAAGACCUUCGGGUCAAAGAGGGGAAGCCUGAGUGGCGGACGGGUGAGUAACACGUGGGCAACCUGGCUCAUAGAGGGGGAUAACAGAGAGAAAUUUCUGCUAAUACCGCAUAAGCACACACUGCCGCAUGGCAGAGGGUGAAAAGAGAAUCGCUAUGAGAUGGACCCGCGUCUGAUUAGCCAGUUGGCAGGGUAAGAGCCCACCAAAGCGACGAUCAGUAGCCGAUCUGAGAGGAUGAACGGCCACAUUGGGACUGAGACACGGCCCAAACUCCUACGGGAGGCAGCAGUGGGGGAUAUUGCACAAUGGGGGGAACCCUGAUGCAGCGACGCCGCGUGAGUGAAGAAGUAUUUCGGUAUGUAAAGCUCUAUCAGCAGGGAAGAUAAUGACAGUACCUGAAUAAGAAGCCCCGGCUAACUACGUG